rnacentral:rRNA from 1 species
UACGUAGGGUGCGAGCGUUGUCCGGAAUUACUGGGCGUAAAGAGCUCGUAGGUGGUUUGUCGCGUUGUCCGUGAAAACUCACAACUCAAUUGUGGGCGUGCGGGCGAUACGGGCAGACUGGAGUACUGCAGGGGAGACUGGAAUUCCUGGUGUAGCGGUGGAAUGCGCAGAUAUCAGGAGGAACACCGAUGGCGAAGGCAGGUCUCUGGGCUGUAACUGACACUGAGAGACGAAAGCUAGGGGAGCAAAUGGG